rnacentral:rRNA from 1 species
AUGAACGCUAGCUACAGGCUUAACACAUGCAAGUCGAGGGGCAGCAUGGUCUUAGCUUGCUAAGACUGAUGGCGACCGGCGCACGGGUGAGUAACACGUAUCCAACCUGCCGUCUACUCUUGGACAGCCUUCUGAAAGGAAGAUUAAUACAAGAUGGCAUCAUGAGUCCACAUGUUCACAUGAUUAAAGGUAUUCCGGUAGACGAUGGGGAUGCGUUCCAUUAGAUAGUAGGCGGGGUAACGGCCCACCUAGUCUUCGAUGGAUAGGGGUUCUGAGAGGAAGGUCCCCCACAUUGGAACUGAGACACGGUCCAAACUCCUACGGGAGGCAGCAGUGAGGAAUAUUGGUCAAUGGGCGAGAGCCUGAACCAGCCAAGUAGCGUGAAGGAUGACUGCCCUAUGGGUUGUAAACUUCUUUUAUAAAGGAAUAAAGUCGGGUAUGCAUACCCGUUUGCAUGUACUUUAUGAAUAAGGAUCGGCUAACUCCGUGCCAGCAGCCGCGGUAAUACGGAGGAUCCGAGCGUUAUCCGGAUUUAUUGGGUUUAAAGGGAGCGUAGAUGGAUGUUUAAGUCAGUUGUGAAAGUUUGCGGCUCAACCGUAAAAUUGCAGUUGAUACUGGAUAUCUUGAGUGCAGUUGAGGCAGGCGGAAUUCGUGGUGUAGCGGUGAAAUGCUUAGAUAUCACGAAGAACUCCGAUUGCGAAGGCAGCCUGCUAAGCUGCAACUGACAUUGAGGCUCGAAAGUGUGGGUAUCAAACAGGAUUAGAUACCCUGGUAGUCCACACAGUAAACGAUGAAUACUCGCUGUUGGCGAUAUACAGUCAGCGGCCAAGCGAAAGCAUUAAGUAUUCCACCUGGGGAGUACGCCGGCAACGGUGAAACUCAAAGGAAUUGACGGGGGCCCGCACAAGCGGAGGAACAUGUGGUUUAAUUCGAUGAUACGCGAGGAACCUUACCCGGGCUUAAAUUGCAGAUGAAUUACGGUGAAAGCCGUAAGCCGCAAGGCAUCUGUGAAGGUGCUGCAUGGUUGUCGUCAGCUCGUGCCGUGAGGUGUCGGCUUAAGUGCCAUAACGAGCGCAACCCUUGUUGUCAGUUACUAACAGGUCAUGCUGAGGACUCUGACAAGACUGCCAUCGUAAGAUGUGAGGAAGGUGGGGAUGACGUCAAAUCAGCACGGCCCUUACGUCCGGGGCUACACACGUGUUACAAUGGGGGGUACAGAGGGCCGCUACCACGCGAGUGGAUGCCAAUCCCAAAAACCUCUCUCAGUUCGGACUGGAGUCUGCAACCCGACUCCACGAAGCUGGAUUCGCUAGUAAUCGCGCAUCAGCCACGGCGCGGUGAAUACGUUCCCGGGCCUUGUACACACCGCCCGUCAAGCCAUGGGAGCCGGGGGUACCUGAAGUGCGUAACCGCGAGGAGCGCCCUAGGGUAAAACUGGUGACUGGGGCU